rnacentral:rRNA from 1 species
UUGAACGCUGGCGGCAGGCCUAACACAUGCAAGUCGAACGGCAGCACAGGAGAGCUUGCUCUCUGGGUGGCGAGUGGCGGACGGGUGAGGAAUACAUCGGAAUCUACUUUUUCGUGGGGGAUAACGUAGGGAAACUUACGCUAAUACCGCAUACGACCUACGGGUGAAAGCAGGGGACCUUCGGGCCUUGCGCGAUUGAAUGAGCCGAUGUCGGAUUAGCUAGUUGGUGGGGUAAAGGCCCACCAAGGCGACGAUCCGUAGCUGGUCUGAGAGGAUGAUCAGCCACACUGGAACUGAGACACGGUCCAGACUCCUACGGGAGGCAGCAGUGGGGGAUAUUGGACAAUGGGCGCAAGCCUGAUCCAGCCAUACCGCGUGGGUGAAGAAGGCCUUCGGGUUGUAAAGCCCUUUUGUUGGGAAAGAAAUCCAGCCGGUUAAUACCUGGUUGGGAUGACGGUACCCAAAGAAUAAGCACCGGCUAACUUCGUGCCAGCCGCCGCCGUAA